CAAUAGCGUAUAUUAAAGUUGUUGCAGUUAAAAAGCUCGUAGUUGGAUUUCUGGUUUCGAUACUUGGUCCUUUAGUUAAUUCUAUUGUGUACUUUAGUGUUGAUCCAUUUUUGUGAGAUGUUUAUCUGUCAUUAAGUUGAUGGGUUUACGGACUUGCAUCGUUUACUGUGAAAAAAUUAGAGUGUUUAAAGCAGGCGUUUGCCUUGAAUACAUUAGCAUGGAAUAAUAAGAUAUGACUUUGGUGGUCUAUUUUGUUGGUUUGCACACCAGAGUAAUGAUUAAUAGGGACAGUUGGGGGUAUUCAUAUUUCAGCGUCAGAGGUGAAAUUCUUAGAUCGCUGAAAGAUGAGCUUAGGCGAAAGCAUUUACCAAGGAUGUUUUCAUUAA
rnacentral:rRNA from 1 species